UGCUGGAACAGUAAGGGUGAUGGAAGGUGCUGGAUGGGGUGCCAGGUGCAGAACCGGCAGGGUCAGAAUUUACCAGAGCAGGGACUGCUGGGUUCAGCACUGCUGAGUACAACCAGAGCAGGUUUAACUCAGGCAGAAAGGGACAGAUUUUCAGAAACACAGCAGAAGACUCACUGCCUGGGCACUGAGAUUGAACCAUUUUGCAAAGAGCAGCAAUACUUAAAGGCAGCAGCUGAAUACAAAGUUUUCAGAGCACACACUUUAAAGAUCCUGAUUUCCUCCUAGCCUGCCUUUCCACCCUUCCCCCUUUCUCCUUCCACACAGAAAGCCCUGCAGAUACAUAAAAUAAAAAAUCUGUGCUAUUUCUAGUCAAGGACAAAACUGACCAGAUUGAACUGGAGGAAGAGACUGGGACCAUUACCUUAAAGUAAAAGAGAAGGAAACUAAGGGAAUCAAUGGAAGAGUAGAGGUGGAGGAGAGACAAGGAAAGGAGACAGGCUAAUUGGAGAGAGCUGCAUCUAGAAGAAUAAUAUAUGGUUAUGAAAUUAAGCAGCAGUACAUUAUUAUGCCCACAAAAAGGACAGAGUUUAUUCCUCUGGGAGCCACCAAUACCUGACAGACAGUUUAGCUCAGCAGAGAUUCUGCAGAACAGACACUGAAUGAUUUCCAGAUCUUCUGUUUAGAACCUAAAGGCAAAUUCAUCUGUUCUUCCCCAGUUUUCUCUGCAAAAAAAGUGUGGGUUUUCCUCCAGAGAAAUGAAUAAGACUGCACUUAUAUUACAAAUUUGCAUAAUCCCCCUCAGUUCUACAGCUGUUUAGCACUCCUGGUAAAUAUUUCUGCAUUCAAAGAGAAGCAGAUCUACAGGUAGAACACACCUAUAACCAGCUAGAUUUUAGUUUAAGAUAGCUGGUCUGCACACUUCUUCAGGAGCAAUUUCUUUUUUUAAGCUACUGUCUUUUA